rnacentral:rRNA from 1 species
AGCCCAAUAGCUAGCCCACCCGUUUAUCUAACAACCAACUAUAAAUAACCCUAAAUCCCAUAAAUUCAACAUAAACAAACCAUUUUUCCAUCCUAGUAUGUGCGACAGAAAAG